rnacentral:rRNA from 1 species
UACGGAGGUAGCUAGCGUUGUUCGGAAUUACUGGGCGUAAAGCGCACGUAGGCGGCCGUUCAAGUCAGAGGUGAAAGCCCGGGGCUCAACCCCGGAAUAGCCUUUGAAACUAGAUGGCUCGAAUCUUGGAGAGGUCAGUGGAAUUCCGAGUGUAGAGGUGAAAUUCGUAGAUAUUCGGAAGAACACAAGUGGCGAAGGCGACUGACUGGACAAGUAUUGACGCUGAGGUGCGAAAGCGUGGGGAGCAAACAGG